AUUGUUAUAAUUAGGUUAUAGUUUUCUUAUCAGUUAUUGUUGAUACCGAGUCCGCUAUCGAGUAGCGGUCAUCUGUUGAAAAUGUUGAUAAAAUUGAAUUCAAGUAAUCGAAUCGAGAAGUUCGAUCGAUAAGACAUAAUGACGUAACUGAUAAUCGAUACUCGUCUGUUGUUUUUGUUGUUACUUCGUUGUGAUUGUCGUGCAUGCGCUUUUUAAACGAAUUAUUUAUGUUUCACAAUAAUUGAAAGAUAAUAAGUGUUCGCAAACAACAGUUAAACAGGUCGAUAUAUUAGAAAACACAGAUUCUGAUGUUGACCAAGAAGGCAACGAGGCAACAAUAAACCUCGUCCAACAAAUGCAUGCAGUAGCCUCUGACGAAGAGUGGUUAGAAGAGGACCCUUACCAAAUCACACAUAUAGA
rnacentral:misc_RNA from 1 species